GCUGCACCAACAACGAAAACUGCUGCACCAACAACAACUACUGCACCAACAACAACAACCGCGGCUCAAACAACUACAAUAGCGGCUCCAAAAACCACAACAGCAGCUUCAACAACCAUAACAUUGGUUCCAACAACCACAACAGCGGCUCCAAAAACCACAGCUGCAGCUCUAAAAACCACAACAUUAGUUCCGACAACCACAACCCCGGGUCCAACAAACACAACCCCAGUUCCAACAACAAAAACAACAGCUCCAACAACCACAACCCUGGCUCCAACAACCACAACCCCGGCUCCAACAACCACUGUGACGAUAAUUCCUCCCGUCUUUUCAACCAUGGCGUAUUUACAAGUCAAGAUGAUUACCUUUGGUGAACUCAGCAACGACACCAUUUCGGGACUUCUUCAAGAGUUCUUCAGAAAUCAGCUCCCGACUGGAACAGCUCAUCUGCUCUCAGUGAAAAGAAUCCAAAGAUUUGCAAUUUAUUAAUAUUAGUUUGGGGUAUUGUGUUUAUAAAUGCACUUAACUUGUGGUUAAAAAAUAUCGAGAAACAUAUUGCUUACACAUUUACAUCAAAAAUGUAUUCCAUGGAAACACACAACUGUAUAUAACAAUUGAAAUAUUCAGAAUUGAAAUGUAAAUCCAAGCAUUUAUCAAAUAGUCAAAUAGUAUCGUCAAAAGACAAAUCAAUGGUCUUGUGAAAUCCUAAUUUCCUAAUAUUUUCUCAGUAAAUCAGUAACUAACUUUAUUAUUGUGAAUGUUUUUUAAUCAAUCUUUCAAAACAUGAUGCUGAUUUUCUUUCGGUUGUCUUUUAUUCUGUUUACAGAUCCAUGUUUUCACAUGACUUGGAUACAGUAAUAUUACUAUAAUUUGUAUUAAAUAAAGUGUUGACCAUCCGGACAUUUAAAUGAUCAUAAAUGCUUUGUCUACCAUAAAAGGUAAAUCACUCAGAGCAACCUUAAUUUAUGGUGUGUACAUUAUAUGCUAUUUUUGGCCAUCAAAGAUCCUCAUGAAACUGUACUGAAUUUAUUGUCUACGAUAAAGCCUUGCUAUUGGUGAA